rnacentral:lncRNA from 1 species
UCCACUACAGCUACUGAAAGAAACAACCAGGAAAAUGUUGCCAAGUCAAGGUUUACUCGCUACUACUAGUUACUUUAGAUUCUUUCACUCGUCUUUCUUUGCACCUGUGGUCUGCAAUUUGUAUCACUGUAUGACAUUAGCAGUACAUUUUCACACAGCAGAGGUGACCCGGAACCUUUCAAACUCAAUAGCACAGUGGCGCAGGGAGCUACUCGCACUAUGAAGCCAUAUGAAGUUGAAUCAAGCAUCGGUAAUUUUUUUGUGUGUGAAAUGAAACAUAUUUAUGAACAAUUGUGUAUUUGCCACCGUAAAGCGGUUGUGCUUCCAUGCUACUGUGAAGAAGGAUCCCAAUCACUCUGCUGAUCAAAAUUUCACUUUUAUGUACUCCUUCUGACCCAUAUUAAUUGUCGCUGAUUUAGUACAUAGCAUUUUGUAGCAUGCCUUCAACUUGUUUUCCCUGGAUUUACCAAUAGCCACAGCAAGUGUUUCCCACUUGUUUUAAGCCUACUCUUUUCAUAUCGCCAUGAUUCAUUUACCAUAUGGCUAAUGACA